UUAAGCGACUAAGCGUACACGGUGGAUGCCCUGGCAGUCAGAGCGAUGAAGGACGUGCUAAUCUGCGAUAAGCGUCGGUAAGGUGAUAUGAACCGUUAUAACCGGCGAUUUCCGAAUGGGGAAACCCAGUGUGAUUCGUCACACUAUCAUUAACUGAAUCCAUAGGUUAAUGAGGCGAACCGGGGGAACUGAAACAUCUAAGUACCCCGAGGAAAAGAAAUCAACCGAGAUUCCCCCAGUAGCGGCGAGCGAACGGGGAGCAGCCCAGAGCCUGAAUCAGUGUGUGUGUUAGUGGAAGCGUCUGGAAAGUCGUGCGAUACAGGGUGACAGCCCCGUACACAAAAAUGCACAUACUGUGAGCUCGAUGAGUAGGGCGGGACACGUGGUAUCCUGUCUGAAUAUGGGGGGACCAUCCUCCAAGGCUAAAUACUCCUGACUGACCGAUAGUGAACCAGUACCGUGAGGGAAAGGCGAAAAGAACCCCGGCGAGGGGAGUGAAAAAGAACCUGAAACCGUGUACGUACAAGCAGUGGGAGCACGCUUAGGCGUGUGACUGCGUACCUUUUGUAUAAUGGGUCAGCGACUUAUAUUCUGUAGCAAGGUUAACCGAAUAGGGGAGCCGAAGGGAAACCGAGUCUUAACUGGGCGUUAAGUUGCAGGGUAUAGACCCGAAACCCGGUGAUCUAGCCAUGGGCAGGUUGAAGGUUGGGUAACACUAACUGGAGGACCGAACCGACUAAUGUUGAAAAAUUAGCGGAUGACUUGUGGCUGGGGAUGAAAGGCCAAUCAAACCGGGAGAUAGCUGGUUCUCCCCGAAAGCUAUUUAGGUAGCGCCUCGUGAAUUCAUCUCCGGGGGUAGAGCACUGUUUCGGCAAGGGGGUCAUCCCGACUUACCAACCCGAUGCAAACUGCGAAUACCGGAGAAUGUUAUUACGGGAGACACACGGCGGGUGCUAACGUCCGUCGUGAAGAGGGAAACAACCCAGACCGCCAGCUAAGGUCCCAAAGUCAUGGUUAAGUGGGAAACGAUGUGGGAAGGCCCAGACAGCCAGGAUGUUGGCUUAGAAGCAGCCAUCAUUUAAAGAAAGCGUAAUAGCUCACUGGUCGAGUCGGCCUGCGCGGAAGAUGUAACGGGGCUAAACCAUGCACCGAAGCUGCGGCAGCGACGCUUAUGCGUUGUUGGGUAGGGGAGCGUUCUGUAAGCCUGUGAAGGUGUGCUGUGAGGUAUGCUGGAGGUAUCAGAAGUGCGAAUGCUGACAUAAGUAACGAUAAAGCGGGUGAAAAGCCCGCUCGCCGGAAGACCAAGGGUUCCUGUCCAACGUUAAUCGGGGCAGGGUGAGUCGACCCCUAAGGCGAGGCCGAAAGGCGUAGUCGAUGGGAAACAGGUUAAUAUUCCUGUACUUGGUGUUACUGCGAAGGGGGACGGAGAAGGCUAUGUUGGCCGGGCGACGGUUGUCCCGGUUUAAGCGUGUAGGCUGGUUUUCCAGGCAAAUCCGGAAAAUCAAGGCCGAGGCGUGAUGACGAGGCACUACGGUGCUGAAGCAACAAAUGCCCUGCUUCCAGGAAAAGCCUCUAAGCAUCAGGUAACAUCAAAUCGUACCCCAAACCGACACAGGUGGUCAGGUAGAGAAUACCAAGGCGCUUGAGAGAACUCGGGUGAAGGAACUAGGCAAAAUGGUGCCGUAACUUCGGGAGAAGGCACGCUGAUACGUAGGUGAAGCGACUUGCUCGUGGAGCUGAAAUCAGUCGAAGAUACCAGCUGGCUGCAACUGUUUAUUAAAAACACAGCACUGUGCAAACACGAAAGUGGACGUAUACGGUGUGACGCCUGCCCGGUGCCGGAAGGUUAAUUGAUGGGGUUAGCGCAAGCGAAGCUCUUGAUCGAAGCCCCGGUAAACGGCGGCCGUAACUAUAACGGUCCUAAGGUAGCGAAAUUCCUUGUCGGGUAAGUUCCGACCUGCACGAAUGGCGUAAUGAUGGCCAGGCUGUCUCCACCCGAGACUCAGUGAAAUUGAACUCGCUGUGAAGAUGCAGUGUACCCGCGGCAAGACGGAAAGACCCCGUGAACCUUUACUAUAGCUUGACACUGAACAUUGAGCCUUGAUGUGUAGGAUAGGUGGGAGGCUUUGAAGUGUGGACGCCAGUCUGCAUGGAGCCGACCUUGAAAUACCACCCUUUAAUGUUUGAUGUUCUAACGUGGACCCGUGAUCCGGGUUGCGGACAGUGUCUGGUGGGUAGUUUGACUGGGGCGGUCUCCUCCUAAAGAGUAACGGAGGAGCACGAAGGUUGGCUAAUCCUGGUCGGACAUCAGGAGGUUAGUGCAAUGGCAUAAGCCAGCUUGACUGCGAGCGUGACGGCGCGAGCAGGUGCGAAAGCAGGUCAUAGUGAUCCGGUGGUUCUGAAUGGAAGGGCCAUCGCUCAACGGAUAAAAGGUACUCCGGGGAUAACAGGCUGAUACCGCCCAAGAGUUCAUAUCGACGGCGGUGUUUGGCACCUCGAUGUCGGCUCAUCACAUCCUGGGGCUGAAGUAGGUCCCAAGGGUAUGGCUGUUCGCCAUUUAAAGUGGUACGCGAGCUGGGUUUAGAACGUCGUGAGACAGUUCGGUCCCUAUCUGCCGUGGGCGCUGGAGAACUGAGGGGGCUGCUCCUAGUACGAGAGGACCGGAGUGGACGCAUCACUGGUGUUCGGGUUGUCAUGCCAAUGGCACUGCCCGGUAGCUAAAUGCGGAAGAGAUAAGUGCUGAAAGCAUCUAAGCACGAAACUUGCCCCGAGAUGAGUUCUCCCUGACCCUUUAAGGGUCCUGAAGGAACGUUGAAGACGACGACGUUGAUAGGCCGGGUGUGUAAGCGCAGCGAUGCGUUGAGCUAACCGGUACUAAUGAACCGUGAGGCUUAACCUU
rnacentral:rRNA from 1 species